UAGUACACAGCGGCGCUCAGGUAUCAAGUUUACUCUUACGGGCUACACCUGCCAAUGAGAAUGAUUAUUGAAACGCAACUUUAUAGUAUUUAGACAGAGUAUCUUUUUUACAAAAUAAA